AACAAUAAUAUAGUUUUAAAUAAUAAACGAAACAACAUUAUAUUACGCUACCUAUGAAUGAGUGAUGAUUAUUGAUUACAAUAAACAGUUUAAAUUAUUUUUUACAUCAAUAAAUAUUCUAGAUAUCUGACCUUGCUUAUUGUACAGCUUCAUUUCGGAGCUACCUAUCAAUAAUUAUCAAUGGAAUUUGCGUCAGCGUUUCUAUUGCCAAAUUCAAUCAUAUGUCGAUCUUGUUAUUCUUGUCUGGUUUUAAUGAUAUUUAUUUGUUACCAAAUCCGUGAUUUUAUUUAUUGAUUAUAAUAUUCAUACUAUCUGCAGCCUGCAGGUUUCCUAUUUGCUCAUUCGGUUUGAUUACGCAUAUUAUUUUUUAUUAAAAUAGUUAGUAAUGACCAGUGACAAUCAUUGAACAAUACUAAAAUCAUAGUGACAAGCUUUUAUUCAUUAUUUGUACUUAGUGAAAGCAUAACAGAAAAAUAGUAAAAAUUGAAACAUAAAAACAAAUAUAAACGAAGUGCGCCCAAUGCUCAUGAUAUUUUAGAUAAUCUGAAUGUAAUAUUUUGUUUUUAUAUAGUAAUUUAAAAUUAAUAUUUAAUCAAAUAGGUAUAUAUAACUUGUUAUGUGAAUAUUGUGUAUCGUCAUAAUAUGUUACAUUAUUGUUGAUAUUACGUUAUUACUGUAUACAUAUAUAUUUAAUAUUAUUAAAUAUUUAAUACUAUUGUUCUGUGAUACUAUCAACGAGUAGGUAUUGAAUUUGACAAAGUGCGUAAACAAAUCAUACUAAUACCUUAUGAUUAAUUAAUUAUCAUUUAUCACUAUUUAGCCGAUUUUUCAACACCAUAUUGUUUAUGGUCACUAUCGGGAUUAUACUCGUAAAUUAUAUUUUAUAUAUUAUAUAGUGUUUAAUAUUAUAUAUAUCUAUUGUUUAUAGUAAUUAAUAUUUUUAACUGUUAGCAUUAUGCCUUCGCCAAUUAUCAUUAUAAUUGUUAUAAUUAUUAUUACCAUUAUUUUUAUUUGCUGUAAGUAAUAUUUAUAUUGUUACAUUAAAUGAUACUUGAUAGGUUACCGUAACCUAACGUCUUCCAUACCAACCCUAUUAAUCUAUUAUAGUCAAUACCUUAUAAGAUGUUAGGUUUUUUUUAAAUUUUUCCCAUGAAUACAGAACAUAUAAUUUUUGGACGAAAAUGUUUUACUGUUUUUAGCAUUAGUUUAAUUAUAGAGAAAUGAAAGGAAAAAAAAUAAUGCAUGUUCAACAACGACCUCCAAAAAAGAAGAAAAGACUUGAUUAUUUUUUUAUGUAGAUCGUGUCCUAUGUAAAAAUCCCAUAACAGAAUAUCAUAACAUAAACAUAUAAUUUAAAAACCUUUUUUUUUAAUGAAAAUGUUUACAAUUUUUGUAAGAUUAGCAUAAUAAGCAAAUAUAAUAACUAAUAAACCAUUGCAACUAUGAAUAAUAAGAGGAGGUAGGCUUCCAGUGAUAGAACUCGACGUGUUAUAUUAUUUGAACUUAAUUAAGUCUCUAUAAUAUUUUCUUUUGAGUAAGUAGGUGCUAGGUGGGAUUUAAUUUAAGACUUAAUUGUUUAAUUUUAAUACACAGAAAAUAUUUUACCCUUAUAGCAAUAUAGCAUAUUUAUGAAAAACCUGCAUAUAUUAUAUAUUUAUAAUUGAUACAUUUUAUGAAAAAUUGAAAAACAUUUUAAUAAAAAAAUGAAACAAAUAAUAGCAUUUUAACUUAUCUAAGACUAAACAGUCACUAUAUAUACUAUAUUUAGCAUUAUAGUAUCUUCAUAAAUUAUAAAUGUAUAGGUAAUAGUUUAUAUUAUUUUUUGCUGGGAAUUUUUUUUUCUAUAAGAGAAACGCUUAUAUAGUUUAAUAUACAAUUAAAUUGGCAAACCAAAAAAUAGAAUGCCUGCCGAUGAACUGCGUAUAAAAUACAAAAUACAACUAUGUACAAUAAAUACAAUUUUAAAUGAUAUUUUUAAUAUUGCAACUAUGUAAGACUAAUGCUAUACAUAUAAGUAUAUUGUUGUAGUAGAUACUAGUUAAAUUAUAGAAAAUUCAAAAGUUUGUAAAGUAAAAUAUGCAAGGGGUGGCAUUGAUUAGUUGUCUCCAGUAUAAUGUAAAUGAGGCAAAUGCUCACCUUUGCCACCUCACAAUUACGCCAUUAUAGUAUAAAAUAUUUUAAUAUAAUAUUUUAUGUAAACUAAUAUGUAUGUUAUUAAUAAAUCGCAACAACUGCGUUGUUAUAAAGUU